ensembl:lncRNA
UCACUUGAUCGGAAAGCAUGGUACUCGCACUCGUCUUCAUAAUUGCGUCUCCUCUGGUUUCAAGUUGGCCUUUGAAAGCAUCGUUGGAGCAGGUUCUGCUAGUCGGGAGAGUGGUGGAGAAACCGAGAGGGGAUAACGGGAGGUUUAAACGGCCCCGUCCACACGAAGCCGAUUUCAUGGCGAAACCGCAAAGGUCUUGUACGGUUCGGCCUUCCGUCCACACGAAGCCGGCGAAUCCGCUGACCGAAACCGCAAACUUCUGAAACCACCCUCGGAGGUGGUUUCAAAUCAAUCCGGUUUCGUUUUGGUUUCGUGUGGACGCCUGAAACCGACUGAAACCGUAAACCAUGACGUCAUCGCCCCACCCCUCGACCUCCUAGCCAAUGGCUCUUAAGCCCGCGGAGUCUCAGAAAUCAUAACAAAAAAGAUGAUGGCGGACUACAAGCUUGUAAUCGUUCUGCAGCAUAUCAUGUCCCUUGUUGGGUUGCUAAGCCAUUAUUUAUUGAGAAUCUAGUUCGCCAUCGUAGAAGAGCUGUUUGUUUGUGUUGUUAGUGGUUCGGGGGG